CCUAAGGAGGCCAGUUGAGCAUCAGUGGUUGUUGAAAGGAAGCUGUACGGAAUGUCAAGGGAGUCGACCUGAAAACUAACGGGUCCAGAGAACUAGUUAAGAAGGUUGUUGAAGAGGGUUUUGGGAGCAAGGGGAUUACUAGAUGUCGACUCUUGAAGUCUUUUUUGGUUCUUUGUCAAA